GAUGAAGAACGUAGCGAAAUGCGAUAAGUAGUGUGAAUUGCAGAAUUCAGUGAAUCAUCGAAUCUUUGAACGCACAUUGCGCCCUUUGGUAUUCCAAAGGGCAUGCCUGUUCGAGCGUCAUUUGUACCCUCAAGCUUUGCUUGGUGUUGGGCGUCUUGUCUCUAGCUUUGCUGGAGACUCGCCUUAAAGUAAUUGGCAGCCGGCCUACUGGUUUCGGAGCGCAGCACAAGUCGCACUCUCUAUCAGCAAAGGUCUAGCAUCCAUUAAGCCUUUUUUUCAACUUUUGACCUCGGAUCAGGUAGGGAUACCCGCUGAACUUAAGCAUAUCAAUAAGAGGAGGA
rnacentral:misc_RNA from 1 species